GGGAGUGGCGGACGGGUGAGUAACACGUGGGUACCUACCCCAAGGUGAGGAAUACCGGCGAGAAAUCGCCGACAAGACCGCAUAGGUUUGGGCAACCAAACAAAGCUCGGGCAACCGGGUGCCAUGGGAAGGGCCUGCGGCCGAUUAGCUAGUUGGUAAGGUAAAAGCCUACCAAGGCGACGAUCGGUAGCUGGUCUGAGAGGACGAUCAGCCACACUGGGAUUGAGAACGGCCCAGACUCCUACGGGGGGCAGCAGUGAGGAAUUUUCGUCAAUGGGGGAAACCCUGAACGAGCAACGCCGCGUGCAGGAUGAAGGUUUUCGGAUCGUAAACUGCUUUUCUCUGGGAAGAGAACGGACGGUACCAGAGGAAGAAGCCCCGGCUAACUACGUGCCAGCAGCCGCGGUAAUACGUAGGGGGCAAGCGUUGUCCGGAUUUAUUGGGCGUAAAGCGCACGCAGGCGGUCUACCAAGUUCGGAGUGACAGUUUCCGGCUUAACCGGGAAAGGUCUUCGAAAACUGGUGGACUUGAGGACUUGAGAGGGAGACGGAAUUCCGGGUGGAGCGGUGAAAUGCGUAGAGAUCCGGAGGAACACCGAAAGCGAAGGCAGUCUCCUGGCAAGUUCCUGACGCUCAGGUGCGAAAGCUAGGGGAGCGAACAGGAUUAGAUACCCUGGUAGUCCUAGCCGUAAACGAUGACCACUAGGCGUGGGAGGGAUCGACCCCUUCCGUGCCGCAGCUUACGCAGUAAGUGGUCCGCCUGGGGAGUACGGUCGCA
rnacentral:rRNA from 1 species